AGACCAGCAAAAGAAGGAUAUUAUUUUGUAAAAGUUAAUGUGGAUGGUGAGGACAUUCCACCAGAAUUCCUCUGUAAGGGUAAUCCAAAACACUCAAGCUGCAGAUUUAGAUAUACCAUUAACAACACUCCAACAAUAACAGAGAUGCAGCAGUCAGCACCACCUGGUGAAGUUAUUGAAAUGAAAGGUAAAAUCAUGUCAGCAGUAUAUGGCAGUAACAUAAUCAGUACAGCA